rnacentral:rRNA from 1 species
AUUGAACGCUGGCGGCAGGCUUAACACAUGCAAGUCGAGCGGUAACAGAGAGAAGCUUGCUUCUCUGCUGACGAGCGGCGGACGGGUGAGUAAUGCCUAGGAAUCUGCCUAGUAGUGGGGGAUAACUUGCCGAAGGGUAAGCUAAUACCGCAUACGUCCUACGGGAGAAAGGAGGGGACCUUCGGGCCUUUCGCUAUUAGAUGAGCCGAGGUCGGAUUAGUUAGUUGGUGAGGUAAUGGCUCACCAAGACCGCGAUCCGUAACUGGUCUGAGAGGAUGAUCAGUCACACUGGAACUGAGACACGGUCCAGACUCCUACGGGAGGCAGCAGUGGGGAAUAUUGGACAAUGGGGGGAACCCUGAUCCAGCCAUGCCGCGUGUGUGAAGAAGGUCUUAGGAUUGUAAAGCACUUUAAGUUGGGAGGAAGAGCAGUUAACUAAUAUUUGACUGUUUUGACGUUACCGACAGAAUAAGCACCGGCUAACUUCGUGCCAGCCGCCGCAGUAA